rnacentral:tRNA from 4 species
GGCUCGAUAGCUCAGUUGGUAGAGCAGAGGACUGAAAAUCCUCGUGUCACUGGUUCGAUUCCAGUUCGAGCCACCA